UACGUAGGGUGCGAGCGUUAAUCGGAAUUACUGGGCGUAAAGCGUGCGCAGGCGGCUUCUCAAGUCAGGGGUGAAAGCCCAGAGCUCAACUCUGGAAUUGCCUUUGAGACUGAGUGGCUUGAGUACGAGAGAGGUGAGUGGAAUUCCCAGUGUAGAGGUGAAAUUCGUAGAUAUUCGGAAGAAACACCAGUGGCGAAGGCGGCUCACUGGACGCGUAUUGACGCUGAGGUGGCGAAAGCGUGGGGAGCAAACAGG
rnacentral:rRNA from 1 species